GAGUUUGAUCMUGGCUCAGAACGAACGCUGGCGGCAUGCCUAACACAUGCAAGUCGAACGCUAUUUAUAGAGUGGCGCACGGGUGAGUAACGCGUGGGAACCUGCCUUUUUCUGUGGGAUAACGGUUGGAAACGACCGCUAAUACCGCAUACGCCCUACGGGGGAAAGGUCCGCCGGAGAAAGAGGGGCCCGCGUCUGAUUAGCUAGUUGGUAGGGUAACGGCCUACCAAGGCGACGAUCAGUAGCUGGUCUGAGAGGAUGAUCAGCCACACUGGGACUGAGACACGGCCCAGACUCCUACGGGAGGCAGCAGUGGGGAAUAUUGGACAAUGGGGGCAACCCUGAUCCAGCAAUGCCGCGUGUGUGAUGAAGGCCUUAGGGUUGUAAAGCACUUUCACUGGUGAAGAUGAUGACUGUAACCAGAGAGGAAGCCCCGGCUAACUUCGUGCCAGCAGCCGCGGUAAUACGAAGGGGGCGAGCGUUGUUCGGAAUUACUGGGCGUAAAGGGCGCGUAGGCGGUCUUUUAAGUUAGGCGUGAAAGCCCCGGGCUCAACCUGGGAACUGCGCUUAAGACUGGAAGACUAGAAAACGGAAGAGGGUAGUGGAAUUCCCAGUGUAGAGGUGAAAUUCGUAGAUAUUGGGAAGAACACCAGUGGCGAAAGCGGCUACCUGGUCCGAUUUUGACGCUGAGGCGCGAAAGCGUGGGGAGCAAACAGGAUUAGAUACCCUGGUAGUCCACGCCGUAAACGAUGUCUGCUAGAUGUCGGGGGGUUGCCCCUCGGUGUCGCCGCUAACGCAUUAAGCAGACCGCCUGGGAAGUACGGUCGCAAGAUUAAAACUCAAAGGAANUUGACGGGGGCCCGC
rnacentral:rRNA from 1 species